rnacentral:rRNA from 1 species
CUGAAGGAACGUUUAAGACUAAGACGUUGAUAGGCUGGGUGUGUAAGUGCAGCGAUGCAUUGAGCUAACCAGUACUAAUGAUCCGUGAGGCUUAACCUU